AAAAAGAAAAAUAUUUUCAAUGAAGGAGGUUUGGUCAAUAGAAUUGAUUAUUAUUAUUGCAGAUAAUCUUUGGAGAAAGAGAAACAGAAGACAGCAAGAAGGGAUUUAUGGAUCUGAGCUUCAAUUCUUUGAAAGAAUCAAGAAGGAGCUGCAGGAGGUAUGUAAAAAAUAUUGCCACAGAAAAUCCAUCAUCAUAUCAAAUUGAUCUUAUAUGUGUCAUUGCUUGGGGUUGAAGUCUACUUCUACUCCUCUAAAUCACCAAAUUCUAGAAGUUUACUAGUGUUAAUCUUUUAGAGGGUGGAUAAAGCUUAAUGUAGAUGGGUGCGCUCUAAAGAAUCCAGGACAUGCUAGAGUAGGAGGAGUUCUUAGAGAUCAUUUGGGGAAGAUUAUAUCCUCCUUCAAACCUCAUAUUGGUACAACAACUAAUCAUAGUGGAUUCUCUGUGGAUGGAGUGACUCAGUGGCUAUUGUAAUCUUAGUUCAAAGAAAGGUUAUUCCAUGC